UUUGACCUCAAAUCAGGUAGGAUUACCCGCUGAACUUAAGCAUAUCAAUAAGCGGAGGAAAAGAAACUAACAAGGAUUCCCCUAGUAACUGCGAGUGAAGCGGGAAAAGCUCAAAUUUAAAAUCUGGCGGUCUUUGGCUGUCCGAGUUGUAAUCUAGAGAAGCGUCUUCCGCGCUGGACCGUGUAYAAGUUCUUUGGAAUAGGACAUCAUGGAGGGUGAGAAUCCCGUCUUUGACACGGACUCCCAGUGCUUUGUGAUGCGCUCUCAAAGAGUCGAGUUGUUUGGGAAUGCAGCUCAAAAUGGGUGGUAAAUUCCAUCUAAAGCUAAAUAUUGGCGAGAGACCGAUAGCGAACAAGUACCGUGAGGGAAAGAUGAAAAGCACUUUGGAAAGAGAGUUAAACAGUACGUGAAAUUGCUGAAAGGGAACCACUUGAAGUCAGUCGCGUUGUUCAGAACUCAGCCUGGCUUUUGCUUGGUGUAUUUUCUGUUUAACGGGCCAGCAUCAAUUUCGAUCAUUGGAAAAAGGCCAGAGGAAUGUGGCAUCUUCGGGUGUGUUAUAGACUCUGGUUGCAUACAAUGGUUGGGAUUGAGGAUCUCAGCAUGCCUUUUGGCCGGGGUUCGCCCACGUUCAUGCUUAGGAUGCUGGCGUAAUGGCUUUAAAUGACCNGUCUUGAAACACGGACCAAGGAGUCUAACAUGCCUGCGAGUGUUUGGGUGGAAAACCCGAGCGCACAAUGAAAGUGAAAGUCGAGAUCCCUGUCGUGGGGAGCACCGACGCCCGGACCAGACCUUUUGUGACGGCUCCGCGGUAGAGCAUGUAUGUUGGGACCCGAAAGAUGGUGAACUAUGCCUGAAUAGGGUGAAGCCAGAGGAAACUCUGGUGGAGGCUCGUAGCGAUUCUGACGUGCAAAUCGAUCGUCAAAUUUGGGUAUAGGGGCGAAAGACUAAUCGAACCAUCUAGUAGCUGGUUCCUGCCGAAGUUUCCCUCAGGAUAGCAGAAACUCAUGUCAGAUUUAUGUGGUAAAGCGAAUGAUUAGAGGCCUUGGGGUUGAACAACCUU
rnacentral:rRNA from 1 species